GACCGGGAGGCGCCCAUGGCCUUUGGCUGCCGCCCGCGCGCCCCGCUGCUGCUCGCGCGUCUCCUGGGACUGCGGCGCGGGGCCUGCGCUCGGGCCAUGGCGCCGCCGCCGCGCUGCUUGGCGCUGGAGCUGCCCGGCUGCAUCCUGGCUCACUUCGCCGUCGGCGUCGAGGCCCCGGGCGCGCGCCCCGACCCCCGUGUGGCCGCGCUCCUGGGCCCCCGGGGCCGCAGCUUCUCGCUGAGCGUGCCGGUGGCUCCGGGCGGGGACUGCGCGGCCCGGGUGCGCGCGGCCCGGCUGCACCAGCGCCUGCUGCACCAGCUGCGCCGCGGCCCCUUCCAGCUGUGCCAGCUGCUCAGGCUGCUGUGCUACCGCCCGGGCGGCGAGGCGGGCGACCUGCAGCACGGCUUCCUGCUCCACGACCCGCGCGACAGCCCCGACACCCGGCGCGCGCUGCUGGCGCUGCUGGACUCCUACCCCGAGGCCCCGCGCCCGCGCCUGGCCGAGUUCGUGGGCGACCCGCUCAGCCAAGUGUGGCGGCGCCCGUGGGAGCUGCGGGACGGCCAGGGGUGGCGGCAGGUGGGCCGCGAGCGCGUCGUGCCCGCGCCAGAGCCCGAGCUGCACCCGGUGGUGCCCGACCUGUCCAGCUCCGGGGUCUUCCCCCACCGGGAGGCCGCCCGCGCCGUUUUGGAGGCGUGUACAUCCUUCAUUCCUGAAGCCCAAGCGGUGCUUGAUCUGGUUGACCAGUGCCCAGAGCAGGUCCAGAAGGGAAGGUUCCCCAUUAUUGUCAUUGAAGGACUGGAUGCCACAGGUAAAACCACGGUGACCCAGUCAGUUUCAGAUUCACUCAAGGCUGUUCUCUUAAAGUCACCACCCUCUUGUAUCAGCCAGUGGAGGAAAAUUUUUGAUGAUGAACCAAAUAUCAUUAGAAGAGCCUUUUACUCUUUGGGCAAUUAUAUCGUGGCUUCUGAAAUAGCUGAAGAAUCUACCACAUCGCCUGUGAUUGUGGACAGGUACUGGCACAGCACGGCCACCUAUGCCAUAGCCACCGAGGUGAGCGGGGGCCUCCAGCACCUGCCCCCCGCCCAUCACCCGAUAUACCAGUGGCCCAGGGACUUGCUCAAGCCCGACCUGGUGCUGCUGCUCACGGUGAGCCCCGAGGAGAGGAUGCAGAGGCUCGAGGGCCGGGGCAUGGAGCGGACCAGAGAGGAGGCGGAACUGGAGACCAACAACGUAUUUCGUCAAAAGGUCGAGGUGUCCUACCAGCGGAUGGAGAACCCUGGCUGCCACGUGGUUGACGCCAGCGCCUCAAGAGAGGAGGUCCUCCAGAUGGUUUUACGCAUAAUCCGUAAUCAUUGUAGUGCGUUGUAGUUACGCCAGGCCGGGCGCCACAUUUGACUAGACGGGGUGCUGUUUGAUCCACCCACAACAGGUUCUGAAAUUUUCCCAGGAUUCAAUUGCAUAAGCGUGUUGUGUGGCAGAAUAUUGGAGACUAGACAUUCCAAUUUUACCUAAAACAUUGUACUUGCUUCUGACCGAUGGACCCGUUAAGACUGAGACUGGGCACCUUCCAGUGAGAGAUGGUGACUGCUUUCUGCCAAGUACAACAAACGUUUUCUUGGAACAUAUUUUUAGCCACAUCCCCAUAAAACCCCUGCAGGGUUUAUCUCCUCUAGAAAGUGUGAGGGAGACAGAAGCAACCAAGAAGACCCUCCAAGUCAGUGGAAGAGUGACCAGCCUCUCCCAUGCCUGCGCCCGCUCACUGAUGACACCUUGAUGUGCCCGCAGUUGACUUCCUGCCAGUUUUGCCUCACUCGGUCUUUGUGAGCUCGGUCCCGCACCUUAGAGCCCAGUGCUCCCAAAGAUUGCGUCUGCGUGUCCCAGCUGCUGGAAGACCCUCCCACUGGCCCAUCUCAUGGGGAGGGGGCACUUACCAAGAAGGCAUCUGACUCGUGUUUGAGACCAGCAGUCCCUGAGAGGGUCCUCUUGGUCAGCGCUUCAAAGUCAAACACAGAGGAGGCCAACUCAGGGUGUUCCAAUCACAGACACACCCACAGUCCUUGAAUUCCGUUCUGAUUAUUUAUACUUCUCUUCUUUCCUCUGAAAACAUGGGUUUGGACAGAGCAAGUGUUUUGCACUAAAGGAGCUGCAUGAAUCGCAGCCAGUCCAGCAGUGUGCUUUUAUUGAUGUUUACAUCUUGUUUGUCCUCAGUGUAGGGGCUGGGCUUCACCAAUCAAAACUGAAGCCAAGAAGCUGACUGCAACGCUUGUUACCAUGUUUUCACUGGACGGAUUUCAUUUCUCCGGCUAAAAAUGGGACGACAAAGCCUAGAUGACAGAGAACCUGUGUACUGGGCAUUUUAAGCCCACUGUUGAGACCUAUUGCUCAGGAAGAAAAUUCUUUCAAAAUAUUACUGCUCACUGGCAAUAAACCUGAUCAUCCAAGAUCUCUGAUGUAGAUGGACAAUGAGAUGAAUGCUGUUGUCAUGCCUGCUGCCACAGCUUCCACAUACAUACAUAUACACAUAUAUACAUACACAUAUAUAUAUUCCUUUUCAUAUUCAGCAGUCCAUGGAUCAAGAAGUAAUUUUGACUUCUAAGUCUUAUUAUUUAAGAAAUAUAUUUUAUAAGGUUAUACUGCCAUAGACAGUGAUUCCUUUGAUGGCUGUGGGCAAAGUCAACUGAAAACCUUGUGGAAAGACCUCACCAUUCUCGAUGCCGUUAAGAACGUUAUUGAGUAAAGGGAAGUGGCAACAUACCCACAUUCACAGAAGUUUGGAAGCAGCUGAUCUCAACCCUCAUGGGUGACUUUGAGGGGGUUCAAGACUUCAGUGGAGGAAGUAACUGCACGUGUGGUGGAAACAGCAAGAAAACUAGAAUUACAAGUGGAGCCUGAAGAUGGGACUGAAUUGCUGCAUCUCACGGUGCAGCUUGAAUGGAUGAGGAGUUGCUUCUGAUGGAUGAGCCAAGAAAGUGCUGUUCUGAGAUGUAGUCUCCUCCUGGCGAAGAUGCUGUGAAGAGGGUUGAAAUGAUAAAGCGUUUGGAAUGUGACAUAAACUUAGCUGAUACAGCAGCAGCAGCGUUUGAGAGGAUGGACUCCCAUUUUGAACGAAGUUCUGCUGUGAGUGUAACACUGUCAAACAGCGCUGCCUGCUGCAGAGAUGUCCUCUGUGAAAGGAAGACUCAAUCCCUGCAGCAGACUUCAUUCUUGUCUCAUUUUAAGAAACUUGCACUGCCUCCCAGCCUCCAGCAGCUACCACCCUGAUCAGUCAGCAGCCAUCAACAGACCCUCCACCAGCAAAAAGAUUAGACUCACGGAAGGCCCAGGUGAGGGUGAGUGUUUCUAUUUUUUAGCAAUGAACUUCUUUUAAAUUAAGGUCUGUAUAUUGUUUUUUCAGAUAUAAUGCACACUCAAGAAACGACAAUAUAGCGUAAGCACACUUUUUAUACCACUGGGAAACCGCAGACUUCACGUAACUGGCUUUAUGGUGAUAUCUACUUCAUUGAGGUGUUCUGGAACCGAACCCACAAUAUCUCUAAGGAUGCCAUCAUUUCUCUCAAAGAUCUGGUGUGAGAAUGAAAUUAGAUCCUGUACGAAAGAGGAGCCCCGGUUCUGGCCCAGAAAAGGCACCGAGGUAAGGUUGGCUCCCUUCUUCCUCCAUCUGCCUUGCUGAGCACAUCUUGACGUUCAGACGUCUCUGGGUUCAAAGGGAAACACACCCGUUAGUGUUCACCGCUGAGGCAUUUUGAGCGUGGGCAAACUGAGGCUUCCCAGCUCCGGAAGAUUAUAGACAUAAAUGCUAUUUUCCACGGGAAAGAUCACCGAAACACAGAGCUGAUUUGCCCACGAGUUUAAGUGUGGUGAUGGCAAAUAAAUAAAUAAAUACAUAAAUAAGUAAAUAAAUACAUUUUAAAGUCAAGAACAAUGGCAGCUUAUUAUUUAAUUUCAUUCAUAGACAAAAAUUAAGAGUUAAGGUAACUUUUGUUACCUAAGUCACAUAAGCUUAAGCAUUUACUCUGUCACCCAACAGAAGAGAUCGUAUUUUAUCAAUGAAAAACCUUCAAGGCCUCCUUCCAUUUGUAUUUAAAGAUCAAACACGUUUCCAAGAGAGAAUUACCUCCCUUAGAAAUAGAAGCCAAUAGUCAAUAAUAAUAUUAGCCCCAAGCAUCUGCUAAGAGUCUCACGUGCCGUGUUACACACGUUGUUCACAUUCAGCCUAUGAGUCAACUUCUCUUACAGUCUGAGGCCUGGUUUGAAGGUACACAACCAGGCGGAGGUCACAGGGCAAGCUAGCGGUGGAGCUGGAAUCAUGCUGUUUGUCUGGCCCAGGAGCUGCUGAGGACCCCCAGCCACUCUGCUUGGAUGCCCAGGGGACAGCAAGCCAGUCCCAGUGACAGUUCAAUCUAAGGAUGUAAACAAAUUGAGACCAAAAGUGAAAACUGAAACCCAAAUAUACCCAGGUUUGUGUAGCUUCCUCUUUACUGUUUACAAAUGGUCCCUUUGUAAGUCAUCUCCGGCCACCCUCUGAGGACUGGGUGAGACUUUGUAUCACUUCACAGAUGGGAGAGGGGACGUCGUAUGACGUCCCCGACUGCCCCAGUUAAUCAGGAGUAGAGACCGGAGCUCCACCUUCCAACUGUAGGUCUCCGUUCUUUCCACUUACCUACCUUUCUAGGAGGAAAGCUUCUGGUCCAGAGUUAGAGGCUUAUUUGCACCUUUACAAUUAUCUUCUAAGCAUCAGCGACUCUAAUAGCGAUUGUGAGUACACAGCUCUUAGAGAAACGCAGACACAAUCCCUUCCAACUGGAGGAGAGAGACAGGUAGUAAACAGAUAAACACACAAAAUGUCAGUGCCAUGGUGGUGUUAGUCCCACAGACAGAAGGAAAAGAUUGGGAGAACCAGGUUGGGGAAAGGGUUGAGAUUUUAAGUUGAGUGGAGCAGAGCUGCUCUGAUAAAGAGAUAUUUGAGCACCUGAAGGAAGUGAGAAAGCCAGCCACGUGGGUAUCAGGAGAGGUGGGUUCUAGGCAGACACAACUGCAGGUGCAAAGGCCCUGAGGUGAUGGGAGGGUGGUUUUUUUUUUUUUUUUUUUUUUGACAUAUAGUCAGUUACAAUGUGUCAAUUUCUGGUGUGCAGCAUAAUGUUUCUGUCAUACAUGUACCUACAUAUAUUCGUUUUCAGAUUAUUUUUCAUUAUGGGUUACUAUAAGGUAUUGAAUAUAGUUCCCUGUGCUCUACAGAAGAAAUUUGGUUUUUAUUUAUUGUAUAUAUAGUAGCUAAUAUUUGCAAAUCUCAAACUCCCAGUUUGGGAGAUUCUUGCUGAGCACAAGGAACAGGAAGGAGGGUACUGGGGCUGCAUCAGCCAGGGUGCAGAUCAGUCUACCACUCCAAGGGUCCUGUCUCCUACCAAGGAGGCUGAGGCCUGGCAAGUUCAGCAAAUCCCGGGCUUUGGUGCUGACCAGCAAGCACGUGGAGGUGGCCGCACCCACGGCAGGCUGAGAAGGAGCCCUGGAGUAGCGGGCAUCAGAAACAAUUCAGGCAGCAAUUAUUCAGUCUCAGAAAAGUCUCUCUGGAAGGACCAGUUCUGUCCUGUAAACGUGAGGAGCAUUCGCUGAGGUCAGGGCCCACGGGGGGCACGUCGGUUACUAGCAUUUGAGGAACACUCAUCAGGAAAUGGCCAUCCUUCUCCACAGACUAAAACCUUCCUGGCAGAGACCACACAUUUUGAUUGUAUUUCCCAGAAGAUCUCAGGUUCUCUGGGUCCAUAUGUAUGAAUUAUCUUGAGUGCGGUCAGACAUCGCCAAGUCACACGAGCCUCCCUAAUUAACAGGGUUCGUAAGUGCUCACUGCGAGUCAGCGCUGCAGAACCAGCUUUUCCUCUGCCUGGCAUUUGUGUAGCUCCCUUUACCACUGCGGACAGUCCGUUAUUUUAUUGUCACGACAAGACUGUGGAGAAGCUGAGUAUGAGAGACAGCGUGUCUUUCUCUCUUUCUCCUUUCUUUCCUUCCUUCCUUCCCUCUUUGAGGAAAUGGAAUGUUAAACAGUGUUUGAUAUGAUAGAAAGAGCUGGAAUCCCAGCGACCCAGGCAGCCUCCUCUGUGUGGUCUGGUCAGACCCCUCCAGACAGGGACAUCGGCACCAGGUCCACCUGCGCUGGCGUGGGGUGGGACAGCUGGGGGCCGUGUCUGGAUCUGCAGACCCUCUGUGGGGUCCCGGUGCCUCCUGAGGACACGGUGGUGAUGGAGGGAGAACUCAGAGACCAGGGUCCAGGCCGGGGAGAGUCAUUAACCAGCUGCGGAAACUUGGGGAAAUCAGUUUCCGUCUCUAGCCUGCCGCUGUCUCAUCUGGAAAGGAGAGACGUUACGUUUCGUUGAUUUAAGCGAUAUUCCUACGGCUCUCAUCUCCUGCUGGCCCUGGUUCUGAGCACUGUACAAACGUUAGCUCGUUUAAUGCUCCAGACCGCCCUCCGAGGUAGGUAAGACUGUCCCCAUUGUACUGAUCAGGAAACGAAGACACAGGAAGGUGAAGCAGCCUACUCAGGCCCAGGCCGGUGCUGGCAGAGCCAGCUGCAAGUCCAAGCAGGCGGGCUUUUACGCUCCCCACCCCCCUGCCUCCCAGGGCGAGGUGUGUAAGUUCCCUCCUCGCUCACGCAUCUGAUGAGUGUGAUUUUAGGCGGUGAGAUUUCAGCCUGUCUGGAACACUCCUGCUCUAAUCCAUUAAAUCAAACUGCACGCGGGCAUUUAUAAUCCUGCCCCCACUUGGGGCAGAGCCCCCAACAGAAGCAACCACUUGCGAGCUGGCCUGGAUGCUGGCUUACACCCAGGGUGGAGAACGCACCUCUGUGUACACUGAUACCCCAGUGAUUCAUGGUUUUAAACUCCUGGAAAACUGUAGGUGCUCACGUAGGUGGGGUGGCUGGUCCUGAGCCCCCCUCUCUUCUCAAGAGUUCACCUGCUCCCCUGAAGGUUCCAGUCACCUCUGCUUGGAUGACCCCAAACUGUCAUUAGGUGAAGUUAGGUUAAGAAGGGGCCACAAGCACCUCUUCUCACCUGCUCCCCCGUUUCCCACCCCCUCCCUGGAGGCUGGAACUUCCCACAGCCCCCCAUACAGAGGUGGGGCCCCCUGUGCGUGACCCCGGAACCCACCCUGAGGCCGCUGGGAUGGGGCUCCCCUCCAGCGCCUGGCUCAUCACCGCUGGAGGGGCCCGUGGAAGCUCCUCUGGGGGACCUCUUGUGCCCUGAGCCAUUGUCUUUCCUACGUGCUCUCAGCCUCUUUCCCCCCCAGCUCGGACUCGAGCUAAACCACCUCCUCAUCUCUCUCUAACUCCAUCUCGGGGGACUCAGGUCCACGGUCAGCGGCCCCUCUGUCCCUGGGGGCCCGGCUGCCUCGCCCCUGCGGUCGUGGCUCUCAGUCCUCGCUGUCCCCGACCUUCCUCCCCCGACGCGACCCUGUGUCUGUCUCCCACUCUCUGUCUGGUGUUUCCUGUCGGUGACCCUGACCCAGGGAGCUGCAGUCCUCCUGUCAGUUACGGGACCAACCUCCCGGAAAACGGCCUCACCCGUUGAGAGCUCUCAUCAAGUCCCUUUUCUUCGUCCACGCAUAAAAGAACUGUCCGUGCGUAUGUCUUCUGGGUUUGGUUUGGUUUUGCUAAAACACAGGGGCACUUACAAUGCAUUUUUUUACACCUUGUUUUUCUGCUUAAAAUUACAUCUUGUAAUUUUUUCACACGAGACCAGAAAUAUCUACUUCCUGCUUUCACGUCUGUAUAGUGUUUUAUUAUAUACACAGAUCAUAAUUUAUUUAACAGAGUCUUGACUGGCGGAUGGUUGCUUCUGGUUAUGAGCUAUGACAACGGAUGCUGCACAUAAAUGCCAGUGAGUUUGCACGUGUGCAUAUGUGCUUAUGAAUACAUGUGUGUUUGCACACGUGUAUACGUGUGUGAGUAUGUGUGUAUGACCUACAUAUGUUCGUGAGUCUCUUUGAGUAUAUUUGUAGAAUAAAUUUGUAGAAUAUUCAUAGAAUAAAUACAUGACAAAGUAACCCCUGAGGUGAGGAAUACAUUCAUUUUAUUCGUUUUUAAUGUAUUAAAAUUGAUUAAUUUAUCAUCCAAAAAAGUUGCGUUGAUUUAGUCAUACCAAAACUGUUUCAUAUUCCCUUUUAAAUUGUUGCAUGUUGGGUGGGUAAACAAUCCCAUCACAUCGUUUUAAUUUGUAUUUUUUAAAUAUGAGUGAGUAUGAGGAUCAGUUCAUAUUUCUAAGCCUUUUGUGUUUCUUUUUCUGUCUGUUUACGUGCGUCGGUGGGUGUUCUGUUGGGUCUUUGUCCUUUUAGGAUUGACUCGUAAACUUUCUUUAUGUAUUUAGGCAUCAGUCUUAUGUCAUAUGCAUUGUAAAUAUUUCCCCAGUUUUGUUUUAUGCUACUUUUUUCCUGAAAAUGUGUUCAACUUUUUAUGUAUUGAAAUCUGUUCCUUAAUGUCUUCUUUCUUUUUUCUUUUCUUUUCUUUUUUUUUUAAGACGUUAUAUAUUUAGAGAAGUUUUUGGUUCCCAGCAAAAUUGAGAGGAAGGUACAGAGGUUUCCCAUAUGGCCCCCCUGCCCCACCUCCAGCGCCCCCUUUAUCAGCAUCCUUCACCAGGUGGUCCAUUUGUUACAACUGAUGUACCUCCAUCAACACAUCAUAAUCACUCCAAGUCCGCGGUCUGCAUCAGGCUCGCUCUUGGUGCUGCACACGCCAUCGGCUUGGGCAGAUGUACAAUAUGAUGUACACACACCAGCGUAGUACCAGAAGGGAUAGUUCCCCUGCCAUAAAAAUCCUCUGUACUCUGCCUACUCCUCUCCACACCUUCCACCCUAACCCCUGGCAAACACUGAUCUUCUUACUGUCUCCACACGUUUGCCUUUUGCAGAACGCCAUGUAGCUGGGCUCAUACAGUGUGCAGUCUUUCCACACUGGCUCCUUUCACUUGGUAACAUGCACUUCCGUUUCCUCCGUGUCUUUUCAUGGCUUGCUAGCUCAUUUCUUUUUAGUGCUGAGUAAUAUUUCAUUGUCUGGAUACACCACAGUGUAUUUAUCCGUUCACCUACUGAAGGACGUCUGGGUUGCUUCCAAGUUUUUGUGAUGACUAAAGCCGCUAUAAACAUCUGUGCGCUUCCAAUUUUCUUGUUUUGCUUUGAAAGUUUGUCUCAGUUCCAAGAUAAAUUAAAAAAAAAAUUUAGAUCCUAAUUUUCUUCUAGGUUGUGAUUUUACUUUUUGCCCUUAUUCUUUAAUCCAUUUGAAAUUAGUGUUAGAAUAGGUAUUAAUGUGUUUCUUCAGCUGACUUUGGACUUAUUUUGAUGGCCAGGGUUACAUUUUGCUCUUCUUUGAAGUCUAUCUAAGAUGGAACAUAGUAUAUGGCAUAUUUAUGGCACUAAGUACUCUACCUGUUAGCUGCCAUGAUACGUACUUGCUUUAAUGAAUAUUUUGCCGUACCGCUAACAUGUAGGGACCAUUAAUCUAGUAAUAACAGCUACCAAUUAUGUGCUGGGUAGACUCUGCAAAUUUUAACCAUUUUAGAUCCAACAACCUUGUAAGACCUGUUAUACUGUCUCUACUUUAUUGAUAAGAGCAUGGAUGACCUCAAGAUCACACAUCUUCAGAGUGGCAACGCUGGGGCUUGAAUACAAGUUGGUGUAUCUUCAAAACACCAAGAUUCCCCACAUCCACUGCUGCUGCUCUCAGUGGCGAGAGGAGGUGAACGAUGUGUGGAAAUACGGAGUCACCUCUUUCCUGUCCACUAGCUGGAAUUUACAGUUCUCACGGUUCAGUCUUCACAUCAAAUAUUUUAUUGAAUUGGAUUUAAACCUUUUUACCGGCUACUGAGCCCGAUGAGGUAAGACUUAGUAAGUGCUGUGUGUUGGCUUCUGUCCCAGCGCAGCGGCUACAAGCACUUUGCAGUGAUAAUUUCCCCCUAAUUGGUUGUCACUAAUGCACUGCCAUUCUGGAAUUUGUCACUUACCGAAAUGUGCCUUAGCAAAUGGACCGUGCUCUCCACCUAAAUGCACACUGACACACGCUAAAAGCAGCUCGGCGAGAGGCAAGCGGGAUUAAGAAGAAGAAGAUGACUUGCAGGAUAUGCUGGGUGGGCAGUAGGUGACCUAGUGGGUGGCCGCCUUCUGCGAGAUCUCUUUUUGGACGAGGGAGUAUGGCUGGAAGAACGGGGACUGGGGAUCAGGAGACUGGUGGAGAGACGGGGCUGGGCCAAAGUCAGUGUGUGUCCCCAGGGUCGUCUUCCUUCCUCAGAGACCCGUUUUCUCAGAAGCAACAUGGAGAGGCUUGCUUGGAUCUGUCGUUUCAGCCUGUGCUCUGCGGUUACUUGGGGUCAUUGUGAGUAAGAAACGGGAGGGAGCCAGGAGGGGUCUGAGUCCCCUGCGCCAGCUCAACCUCACAGCCUCCUGCUUUGCCCAUUUUCACAUCUUACGUUUCCAUGGUGAACGACAUGCCGACCUUCGGAAGGGAGGCUCCCGCAGGACGGCUCCAGUGACGACAUUCUGAGAUCUUACUCCCCGUAUUCCAUCUCCAGCAGCCCCCAGGGCGCGUGCUCCGAUGAAGGUUAGCAGGGCAAGCACAACGCAGGCUGCACGUGUGGUUUCCCAGCAAAUCCCACCAGCCAAGCCUUUCCAGGAAGCCCUUCCCAAUCAAGCGGAAGUCAGAAGUACGCGAGGGCAACCCCAGAACGCGAGGGCAACCCCAGAACGCGAGGGCCACGCCGCCGCUCAUUCCCUGCCUGGUUCCGGGCGCACCGCUCCACUUCCGGUCUGCACUGGCAUUUCCUGUCCUGGAAAGCCGGCUUCCUGGACCUAAUGGCUCUCCGUCCGUUCAGUCCUGGCCUGGCUCGUACUCAUCAGAAGAAGAGGCGUGGCUUCUUCACCGUGCGUUUUCAGGGACCUUCAGCUUUGUCCUCCAUUUCCAACUCCGAGGCGCCCACGAUGCUGGCCGCCUCGGCAGCCCCCGCAGCGCGGCUCACGGUGCAUUUUGGUUGCCGUUUCGUGACUCAGUGUCGUGAGUUUCUCUCUUCGGACUGUCCUUCUAGAAUCAGCAGGAAGGAGGGAGAAGGUGACCAAGGCAGAAUGGAAGGUGGUUGAGCUUCUCUCUUUUUUUAAAUCUACGCAUGGAGUGAAGAAAUCUGAGUAAGUGUGGAGGGUCAGGGCAAAGGCACUGAGGGAAGGAACAAGAUUGGAGGUUUAAAGAAAGGGCAGAGGGUUGAAGCAACGGCCUUAAAGUGGUGGAGACAGGGAGGGAUCAGAGUUCAGCUAGGAGGUGGGCGGGAGGGGUUCGGCUGGAUGGGAAAGGUGUCCGCUGUGUCCCACUGUUGAAGAUUUAGUAGGAAACGCCCCUCCCUCUCCAGCCCAGGGAAAAGCUGGGGAGGGUGUCCCACGGCAGAACACAGAGCCUGUUUUGAGAGCCACUAACCCAAAGCAAGAAAAUAAUAAAAAAUUUAAAUAAUUUUAAAUGUCCGAAAGAGGGUGCACGAGAAAUUGAUUCAAUGAUAAAUUGUCCUGGAUUUUAAAAUAAGAUAAAGAAAUAUCAGCCUGACACAAUUUAUUUUUUUCUGAGCAAUGAUUUUUUUGUUGUUGUUCCUUCUGUCCCGACAAAAUGGAACAGAGGGGAUGCCUUUCCCAUCCAGCCGGAUCCCUCCAGCAUCCUCUCUCCCCCGCGUUUCUGCAUCAGUGCGUGCGAACAGUCCCCAGGGGGGUUGCACUGUCUGCGCAGCAGCACCUGGGCGGCUCUGAGGUCCUCCACUCUGCAGAGUCCUCUGGGCUCCUUGAAUAUGAACAGGUUGUUUUCUGAACAAACCAUUAGGAAACCUGGGUGGACAAGUUUACUUAUGGGAAAAAGGGGCAGACCAUUUAUAAUUAGGGAGUCUCCUGAGAAAUCCAGAAAUCUGGAUGGAUGGAGCAGAGAAACCUGCCCUCAGGAGGGAAGUGGGCUCCACACUUGGAAAACAGGCCAAGCUUGGCUGCGGGAAGCUCUCUGACAAUGCCAAGGACACGGGCAAGAGGCAAGCUUCCUGCUACGUGCCAGAUUCCGUAGGAGGAGCUUGUGUCUGUUAGCUGGUCUUAAAACCACGGCAUAGAUAUGAUCAUCUUCACGUGGAACUGGAAAUAUCACGUCUCUCUGGGGUGAUUUGCCAAAACACACACGGCCGGCAAAGGGUGCCACGUAAUUCGAACCCAGCUGAGACAAGUUACGAAGGCAGCUCCUGUCCCACAUGCCGGGACAUGUCCGGUCAUCCCGACCCUUCUCCUGGUCCACGUCAUCCCUUCUAGGGACUAUGUGGCCUGAUUCCAAUAAGAAUAAGAUUCAGAUUGCUCAGCCUCAUCACAGCCAGAUCGUUGACUCCUCUUGCCUUUGUCACCUGGGAUCUCAUCUUGAGCUCUGUCUCCAGAUUUCCCUGGCUUUGGGUUUGUGCUUUAUCCUUUCCCUCAACUCUCUCUUAUACCAGAGGACACAUUUGCCUUCUUGGAUCUGAUGCUCUCUGACCGACUUCCAUUAAGGUCUGAGCUCACCCUGGGGGCCUCUGGCUCCUACUGACCCAGCUUGGUCAUGGGACCCAGCCUGUCACUGGACAUCUUGACCCCCUGCACCUGCUCAUCCUCCACCAUCCAGGAUUCUGUGGUGUCAAUGGCAGGUGGGUGCGAAGUGGGAUUCCUCCAGGAGACACCUAGAAGAGGGAGAAGGGAAACUCGGAGCCCCGAGGUGAUGCGCUGGCCGUGGAGUGAGAGGAGAGGAGGUCUGUCACACAAUCCCCCCUGGGUAGCCUUCAGAAGGGUCCUCACUCUUGCUGGGAAGGAGCCUGAGGCAGCUGGGCUGCAGAUUCUGCCUUUACUGGCUGCUGGACCCAGUGUUCCACAUGCUCACCCACUGUCCUAGUCAGAGGAUGUCUGAUAUCUGACCUGCCCUUGUGGGCUGACUGUCCCGGCAGAGCCAGUGAGGUUAUGAAUGGCUCAUGUCAAAUCUGACCUCUGAAUUGCUGACUUCCAGCUUUUGUCAUGUGCUUUGUAGAAGCAGAGAAGACCAGCUAUUUCAGACUAUGCCAAUAAAAUUCCUCAUGGAUUGAAAGAACCACUGGCCUUUUUUGAUUUACAUCAACACACAAUGCUGUUUGUCAAAUGGGCUUGGAGGUUCUCCCUUUGAAAUUCCAAGCUGUAAAUAAGACAGGCAUAUUUGCCUAGGGGGUGCCCGCCUCCCUGCACCCAUUUCGAUAAUGAGUCUAGUAAAAUCAGUGAGGUGGAAACUGAUGGCCUGAGAAGAGUGAGGAAGGGUUUGACUUAACCUUGGCAUAUGUUGGAUCAGGGGCUCUGAGGUGGCGAGGUAGAUAGAGGUGUUCUGAUAGCUGUUUGUAACUAGCUGUUAAGUUACUCUUUUACGAAAAAUACAGGGAGUACCCAUGCUCUCUGUGGCUCCAAAGGGAAGAGCUGAAUCUCAUGUUUGUGCAGUGGAGGGUACACGUUUCAGCUCCCUGUAAGCUCCACUCAGCGAUGGAGAGCUCUGUCUUGAAGUGAGUUACCUACCACUGGACGGUCACAGCACGAGUACAUAAUGGGCUGUUGUGUUUGGAUAACAGGACCCCAAAUGUCACUUUGAGAUCCUAUGACCAUCUUCUAGACACAUUCAACAGAAGCGAAGAGGACAAAAGGCAACGUGUGAGAAGGUAUAUUUCACUUUGUUUCCCCACAAUUUUUAUCAAGGAAAGCAGAACCACUCCGAGUAACAAGAAAACAAAAUUAAAAAUAUAUAUAUAUAAUGAAUAAAUUCAUACCAUAAAUAAAAAUGUAAAGUCUUCUAUAAUCUCAUCACUGUCACAUGACAACUUUUUCAUUGCUCUGUAUUCACAGAAAACAUAAUUUUCAGGGUUUGUGAUUUUUGCACAGUUGUAAUCAUGGUGCAUAGAAGGUUGAAUAAAAAUCAAGUGUUUUGAGCUUCUCUUCAAAUGAUUAGGACUAAAAACACUCUUUAGUUUUACUUCAUGUGGGAAUUAAUACUACUAGAUAGCAUACUAUUUAUUAAUAGAUGUAUAUCAAUCGUAGAAUUUUGUACACACUCUUAUGAAUAAAUAACUUGCUUAUUUCCUGAUGGCAAUUCUUUUUGGUCUCAUGUUACUUACUGCACAUUUUUAUAAACCAGGGGUCCAUGGCCGGGCCUCAGGGGGACUGCAAACCAUUAAAUUACAUAUAAAAUUUUG